UGAGAAGCCAGGCAGCUCACGGCCUUUCCCCCAGAAGCAAAUACGAUUUGUAACAGAGGCUCCUCCUGGACACCUUCUGUUCCUAACCAUGUCCGAUGUCAAGUUUUCAAGAAGCAAAGGUAACACGUCCCCCGACAGGUGGCUCUGGUCUCUGAAAGAAAUUAUCACCAAAACAUCUAAAUAUGUGCCAUCAGCACUUGCUGAACAAAACGCUAGGUGCAUGUAAAAGUCUAGAAAAAAGGAAAAAGAAGUUCAAAGACUUGAUAUAAGAAAUGUCACAAAUUUCAUGUGUUACUUAAGAAAGGACAGAAAUUUAUUUUCAAAGAUUUGACUCCAAGUAUUGGCAAAGAUGUCGGGAAAGAGACU